ACCCAUACUUACCUGUUGGUGCCAGGAGUUGGUGUUUCAUUUGCUGGAAAGCUUCCAGAGAGCUCUGCGCUCCUGUCAGACCCAUGGUUCCCUGGCUGGAGAGAGUGGAAUGACAUACAGAACCUCAACAGUGCAAGAAAUGGGCACUGAGUGAUGUCUGGAAGAUGGAGUGGCCAUCUCCAAAACAGCCACAGGUUGCCCUCACACUCAUGGCCAUUCACAAUCUCUCUGCACAGAGGCAAACCAGCCAUUCUGCUCCAAGCACCAAGUUUAAGUGAAGGCAUACAAGCAGAGAUUCUUCAUACUCAGAAGACUGAGCUGGGCUCUUCAGAAGGAACAUGAUCUGGUAAAGAAAAGAGCUGUGACGUGUGAUGCAAAGAGAGGAUGGACACUGGAGUCUUACCAUUGGCUUUGAACACAGAGAGUGGAUGGUUCAGUUCAAGAGCAGAUUUGAGGGAAAGCAAUAUUAUGGUAAG
ensembl:lncRNA